CCUACGGGGGGCAGCAGUGGGGAAUAUUGGGCAAUGGGCGAAAGCCUGACCCAGCAACGCCGCGUGAAGGAAGAAGGCUUUCGGGUUGUAAACUUCUUUUGACAGGGAAGAGCAGAAGACGGUACCUGUCGAAUAAGCCACGGCUAACUACGUGCCAGCAGCCGCGGUAAUACGUAGGUGGCAAGCGUUAUCCGGAUUUACUGGGUUUAAAGGGUGCGCAGGCGGCCUGUUAAGUCAGCGGUAAAAGCCCGGGGCUCAACCCCGGCGAGCCGUUGAAACUGGCGGGCUGGAGUUGGAGAGAAGUACGCGGAAUGCGCGGUGUAGCGGUGAGAUGCUUAGAUAUCGCGCAGAACCCCGAUUGCGAAGGCAGCGUACCGGCUCCACACUGACGCUGAGGCACGAAAGCGUGGGUAUCGAACAGGAUUAGAUACCCUUGUAGUC
rnacentral:rRNA from 1 species